GGCUCUCCUCUUGCUUCUCCUCAGUAUCUAGGAGUACAACUUUGAUGAUGGAGAGAGUAGUCUGAAGCCUCCUAAGAUCAUUUUUGAAGCCAUACACCAAACUAAUAUCUUCAGAAGAAAUUGAUGUCAACUUUGUUAUUAAGUUUUCUGCAAUGCUAAAUUAAUGGGAUUUGUUCAGCCAUCGAUGGAAGGAUAAUGACUGAAAAUUGGGCAAGAUGAAAAUGAAGAAA
rnacentral:misc_RNA from 1 species